CNCUUCAUCUUCUCCAUAAAUCAUACCAAAAUAUUCACAUUGUUCUACUCCCAUCUGAUUGUAGCCCAUAACCUAGUAGCAGAAUGCUAGCACCUCAAACAAUUUGUAGCCGAACGAAGGCAAUGCGGUGAUAAUAUCCGAAGCACCCGGACAGAGAGGUGCACAAAGCUUAUGCUAUUGUGGUCACUUGGGAUGUGUGAGGACUUAAUGGACGGGAACAAAUCUCGGAUAGAGGUUUAUUGGAUGUCGUUUCUAUGGGAAGCCUGAAGCGUGCAAUUUCUUUGAUUGGGUCGAUGAGUCAUCGGAUGUUGGGUACACGCUUGUAAUAAACGGGCUACUAUGUUCAAAGAACAGACUCGAAGAAGAGAAUAGGAAAAAUUGAAAAAUUCGAAAGAUGUACAAGGUUGCAUUUUGGGCAGUCCUUAUAUUUAUUUUUAUUAGUUUGUUUUUCUAAUAGUGUGUAUUAGUGUAAUGUAGUAUGUAUGGGAAUGGAGUUGAAGUGAAUUGCAGGCAGUUUGGUGUAAUGUAGUGAAUUUCAACCUCGAUUAUUUGCUCUGAAUUUUAGUAAUUGCACAACGUAGUUGCAUGUGUUGUUAAUUCCAUUUGUUGGUGACUACAAUUUGUU
rnacentral:lncRNA from 1 species